GCCAGCGUGGCGCAGAGGUUUGCGCGUUGGACUAGGACACUGAGAGACCAGGGUUCGAAUCUCUGUUCAGGAG